GUAGUUUAGUGUGGUGUUUGUGCAUUGCGCGGUUUGGUUGCGUUGGUGGUUGGUUGCC
rnacentral:tRNA from 1 species